UUUACAGGUCCAUGUUUUACAAGUCUAUGUUUUACAGGUCCAUGUUUUACAGGUCCAUCAUGUUUUACAAGUCCAUGUUUUACAGGUCCAUGUUUUACAAGUCCAUGUUUUACAGGUCCAUGUUUUACAGGUCCAUCAUGUUUUACAGGUCCAUCAUGUUUUACAAGUCCAUGUUUUACAAGUCCAUGUUUUACAAGUCCAUGUUUUACAGGUCCAUGUUUUACAAGUCCAUGUUUUACAAGUCCAUGUUUUACAAGUCCAUGUUUUACAAGUCCAUGUUUUACAAGUCCAUGUUUUACA
rnacentral:lncRNA from 1 species